AGACCAAAUGGUCCCUCCGGAAUGCGGACAUUUUUUCGACCACCUCCAAAUCACCUCAAUUUUGGCACACAUGAUCUCUUGCACAAAUAAUGCUAGGUUUCCAAGGUUUUGUAUUUUUUUGAAUUUUUUUGAAUUUAUAAUGCCCUCUAGACUGACUGCU